rnacentral:rRNA from 1 species
UACGGGGGGUGCGAGCGUUGUCCGGAAUCACUGGGCGUAAAGGGCGCGUAGGUGGUCUGAUAAGGGUGUGGUGAAAGCCCGGGGCUCAACCCCGGGUCGGCCGUGCCGACUGUUGGACUAGAGUGCUGUAGGGGCAGGCGGAAUUCCGGGUGUAGCGGUGGAAUGCGUAGAGAGUCCGGAGGAAGGCCGGUGGCGAAGGCGGCCUGCUGGGCAGUUACUGACACUGAGGCGCGACAGCGUGGGGAGCAAACAGG